GUGCUGCUUGGAGUGGCUACAGAGGAGGCUGGUGGUUUAACGCCUGUCACCGAGCCUUCCUUAACGGUCAAUGGUCCCCGGGGUCCUGGUACAACCCAUGGUCUCCCACAGUAACGAGUGGAUCGUUUAUAAGAGGGACUUCGAUGAUGGUCAGACGGCACUAGGAGAUGGAUAUUGUUAAGAAAGAAAAAGAACACAAUGACGACCACCUAGCAGUCUGGCAAGCAUGGCCUUUCUGAUAUAAAAGACAAUUUUAAUUCUGUCAACCAUGGAGUUAUGUUAAUCCGUUUUCUAUUAUAAUGUUUUAUACCAAGUAACAAAACCUGUAAACGAUUAUGUUCUUGAAGAAGUCUUGUGGAUGAACUGUUACCUGAAGCAAAAUAUUUUUGAACAAUUUUUAUACUGAACUUUGUAGAUUAAACUUUUAUAUUGUAAAGUGUUGUAAUAAAAUAUACUUUUGAAAUAUU